UACGUCUGCGUGUUCUAACUCUUCAGUC
rnacentral:piRNA from 1 species